rnacentral:rRNA from 1 species
UCGAACGGUAACAGGGAUUAGCUUGCUAAUCUGCUGACGAGUGGCGGACGGGUGAGUAAUGCUUGGGAAUCUGGCUUAUGGAGGGGGAUAACUACGGGAAACUGUAGCUAAUACCGCGUAAAAUCUUCGGAUUAAAGGGUGGGACUUUCGAGCCACCUGCCAUAAGAUGAGCCCAAGUGGGAUUAGGUAGUUGGUUAGGUAAAGGCUGACCAAGCCGACGAUCUCUAGCUGGUCUGAGAGGAUGACCAGCCACACUGGAACUGAGACACGGUCCAGACUCCUACGGGAGGCAGCAGUGGGGAAUAUUGCACAAUGGGGGGAACCCUGAUGCAGCCAUGCCGCGUGAAUGAAGAAGGCCUUCGGGUUGUAAAGUUCUUUCGGUGACGAGGAAGGUUGGUAGGUUAAUAGCCUAUCAAAUUGACGUUAAUCACAGAAGAAGCACCGGCUAACUCCGUGCCAGCAGCCGCGGUAAUACGGGGGGUGCGAGCGUUAAUCGGAAUAACUGGGCGUAAAGGGCACGCAGGCGGUGACUUAAGUGAGAUGUGAAAGCCCCGAGCUUAACUUGGGAAUUGCAUUUCAUACUGGGUCGCUAGAGUACUUUAGGGAGGGGUAGAAUUCCACGUGUAGCGGUGAAAUGCGUAGAGAUGUGGAGGAAUACCGAAGGCGAAGGCAGCCCCUUGGGAAUGUACUGACGCUCAUGUGCGAAAGCGUGGGGAGCAAACAGGAU